rnacentral:rRNA from 1 species
GAACGCUGGCGGUAGGCCUAACACAUGCAAGUCGAACGGCAGCACAGUAAGAGCUUGCUCUUACGGGUGGCGAGUGGCGGACGGGUGAGGAAUACAUCGGAAUCUACUUUUUCGUGGGGGAUAACGUAGGGAAACUUACGCUAAUACCGCAUACGACCUACGGGUGAAAGCAGGGGAUCUUCGGACCUUGCGCGAUUGAAUGAGCCGAUGUCGGAUUAGCUAGUUGGCGGGGUAAAGGCCCACCAAGGCGACGAUCCGUAGCUGGUCUGAGAGGAUGAUCAGCCACACUGGAACUGAGACACGGUCCAGACUCCUACGGGAGGCAGCAGUGGGGAAUAUUGGACAAUGGGCGCAAGCCUGAUCCAGCCAUACCGCGUGGGUGAAGAAGGCCUUCGGGUUGUAAAGCCCUUUUGUUGGGAAAGAAAAGCAGCAGGUUAAUACCCUGCUGUUCUGACGGUACCCAAAGAAUAAGCACCGGCUAACUUCGUG